rnacentral:rRNA from 1 species
CCUACGGGUGGCUGCAGUGGGGAAUAUUGGACAAUGGGCGCAAGCCUGAUCCAGCAAUGCCGCGUGUUUGAAGAAGGCCUGCGGGUUGUAAAGCACUUUAAGCAGGAAAGAAGGGGUGAAAGUUAAUACCUUUCAUCAUUGACGUUACCUGCAGAAUAAGCACCGGCUAACUCCGUGCCAGCAGCCGCGGUAAUACGGAGGGUGCGAGCGGUAAUCGGAAUUACUGGAGGUAGUUCGCGCAUACCGGGUUGAAAGCCCUGGGCUUAACCUGGGAACUGCGGUGGAUACUGUCGGGCUAGAGUGUGGUAGAGGGGAGUGGAAUUUCCGGUGUAGCAGUGAAAUGCGUAGAGAUCGGAAGGAACACCAGUGGCGAAGGCGGCUCCCUGGACUAACACUGACGCUGAGGUGCGAAAGCGUGGGGAGCAAACAGGAUUAGAUACCCGUGUAGUC